rnacentral:lncRNA from 1 species
UCAAGUGUGGAGGGUUUAUUUAUACCCUUUGCCUUUUAAUCACAGCCGUCCAUCUUGAUUUAAUCUGGACCAUCCGUGCACGUGCAUCUGAGCCGUCCGUGCGCGUGCAUCUGGGCCGUCCGUGGUGACGCUUGAUCUGGGCCGUCCGUGUGUGCGGGGACGCAUCUGGGCCGUCCGAUCGCGCGCACGCGGAUCGCCCACGUGGCCCGUUCCCGGGUCGGCGUGGCCUUGCCACGCGGCAGGUCCUGGUUGGCCAGGGCUGCUGACUGGGCCGCUGACGUGGCUGCUGACGUGGCGUUGACGGGGCACAAU